UUAACUGUAAAGCUCUUUUAUCGGUGAUAAUUAUGAUUGUAACCGAAGAAUAAGCUCCGGCUAACUCCGUGCCAGCAGCCGCGGUAAUACGGGGGGAGCAAGUGUUGUUCGGAUUUAUUGGGCGUAAAGGGCGCGUAGGCGGUUUGAUAAGUUGAUACUUAAAUUUUGAGGCUUAACCUCAUUAAAAGUGUCAAUACUGUUAAGCUAGAGCUUAGUGGGGGUGAACGGAAUUCCAAGUGUAGAGGUGAAAUUCGUAGAUAUUUGGAGGAACGCCGGAGGCGAAGGCGGUUCAUUAUGCUAAGUUGACGCUAAUGUGCGAAAGCGUGGGGAGCAAACAGGAUUAGAUACCCUGGUAGUCCACGCCGUAAACGAUGAGUGCUAACAGUUGAGGAUAGGUUUGGCUAUUGUUUGAUUGUGAAAGCUAACGCGUUAAGCACUCCGCCUGGGGAGUACGAUCGCAAGAUUAAAACUCAAAGGAAUUGACGGAUACUCGUACAAGCGGUGGAUCAUGUGGUUUAAUUCGAAACGAAUCGAAGAACCUUACCAGCUCUUGACAUUUUAGGCUGAAACGUUGAGAAAUUAACAAUUCGGCUUUCCAUGAAAGGAAAGCAGGCCUUUAACAGGUGCUGCAUGGUUGUCGUCAGUUCGUGUCGUGAGAUGUAUGGUUAAGUCCUAUAACGAACGCAACCCUUAUCCUUAGUUGCUUAUUAAGCUCUUUAAGGUGGACCGCUAAUGUUUAUUUAGAGGAAGGGAAGGAUGACGUCUAGUCUUCAUGGCCCUUAUGGGCUGGGCUACACACGUGCUACAAUGGUGGUCACAGAAAGUCGCAAAGUCGCGAGACUGAGCAAAUCUUAAAAGGCCAUCUUAGUUCGGAUUGUACUCUGCAACUCGAGUGUAUGAAGUAGGAAUCGCUAGUAAUCGCGGAUCAGCAUGCCGCGGUGAAUACGUUCUCGGGUCUUGUACACACUGCCCGUCACACCAUGGGACUUGGUUUUGUCUUAAGCUUCGAUAGACGAAGUGAAAAUAAGGUUGAUGACCGGGGUGAAGUCGUAACAAGGUAGCUGUAGGGGAACCUGCGGCUG
rnacentral:rRNA from 1 species